AGUGAACGCUGGCGGUAGGCCUAACACAUGCAAGUCGAACGGCAGCACAGUAAGAGCUUGCUCUUACGGGUGGCGAGUGGCGGACGGGUGAGGAAUACAUCGGAAUCUACUUUUUCGUGGGGGAUAACGUAGGGAAACUUACGCUAAUACCGCAUACGACCUACGGGUGAAAGCAGGGGAUCUUCGGACCUUGCGCGAUUGAAUGAGCCGAUGUCGGAUUAGCUAGUUGGCGGGGUAAAGGCCCACCAAGGCGACGAUCCGUAGCUGGUCUGAGAGGAUGAUCAGCCACACUGGAACUGAGACACGGUCCAGACUCCUACGGGAGGCAGCAGUGGGGAAUAUGGGACAAUGGGCGCAAGCCUGAUCCAGCCAUACCGCGUGGGUGAAGAAGGCCUUCGGGUUGUAAAGCCCUUUUGUUGGGAAAGAAAAGCAGCAGGUUAAUACCCCGCUGUUCUGACGGUACCCAAAGAAUAAGCACCGGCGAACUUCGU
rnacentral:rRNA from 1 species